AGUGAACGCUGGCGGCGUGGAUAAGGCAUGCAAGUCGAGCGAUCCUCGCAAGAGGAUAGCGGCAAACGGGUGAGUAACGCGUAGGUAACCUACCCUGAAGUGUGGGAUAGCCCAGCGAAGUUGGGGUAAUACCACAUGUGCUUGCGGUUCGCAUGUUCCGCAAGGAAAGGUGGCCCUCGACCGAAAGGUUGCCAUCACUUUAGGAGGGACCUGCGUCCCAUCAGCAGUUGGUAGGGUAACGGCCUACCAAGGCUUAUGACGGGUAGCUAGCCUUAGAGGGCGGUUAGGCCACACUGGGACUGAGACACUGCCCAGACUCCUACGGGAGGCUGCAGUCGAGAAUAUUUUGGCAAUGGACGAAAGUCUGACCAUGCGACGCCGCGUGCGGGAUGAAGGCCUCGGUCGUAACCG
rnacentral:rRNA from 1 species